rfam:Pachysolen tannophilus NRRL Y-2460 unplaced genomic scaffold PACTA_scaffold_10, whole genome shotgun sequence.
GACCUUUUAGUCUAAUGGUUAUGACAUUAAUUCUUCAUAUUAAUAGUAUUGGUUCGAUUCCAAUAAAGGUUA